GGGCCCGUAGCUCAGUGGUAGAGCGCUGGCUUUGCAAGCCAGAGGUCGCGGGUUCGAAUCCCGCCGGGUCCA
rnacentral:tRNA from 1 species